ACGGGGGGUGCGAGCGUUGUCCGGAAUCACUGGGCGUAAAGGGCGCGUAGGUGGUUUGAUAAGGGUGUGGUGAAAGUCCGGGGCUCAACCCCGGAUCUGCCGUGCCGACUGUCAAACUCGAGGGCUGUAGAGGCAGACGGAAUUCCGGGUGUAGCGGUGGAAUGCGUAGAUAUCAAGAGGAACACCCGAGGCGAAGGCGGGUUGCUAGGCUGACACUGACGCUGAGUGCGCGAAAGCCAGGGGAGCAAACGGGA
rnacentral:rRNA from 1 species